GAAACCCUUCUAGGAGCAGGGGUCUGAUUUGGGGUCUCAAAGGAAACCCUUCUAGGAGCAGGGGUCUGAAAUGGGGUCUUGAAAGAAACCCUUCUAGGAGCAGGGGUCUGAAAUGGGGUCUUGAAAGAAACCCUUCUAGGAGCAGGAGUCUGAAAUGGGGUCUCGAAGGAAACCCUUCUAGGAGCAGGGGUCUGAAAUGGGGUCUCGAAGGAAACCCUUCUAGGAGCAGGGGUCUGAAAUGGGGUCUUGAAAGAAACCCUUCUAGGAGCAGGGGUCUGAAAUGGGGUCUUGAAAGAAACCCUUCUAGGAGCAGGGGUCUGAAAUGGGGUCUUGAAAGAAACCCUUCUAGGAGCAGGGGUCUGAAAUGGUGUCUCAAAAGAAACCCUUCUAGGAGCAGGGGGUCUUGCGGUCUUGAAGGGAAGUUUCUCUGCCCCUCUGCUGUAUGUUGGAGGCCACUUGGCUGGUGGCUCCUCUGGCAACAGCGUCCAAACUGGCCCCUCAGAGAUCCAUGAGGCAGGGGAGGCUGUAGAGGAACAGCCCCAGUGAAACGCUCUGGGGACGCAUUUGGUGGCAGUAAGUACCCCACUCCCAGCUCUGCGCACAGUGAGGCUCAGAUCCAGCGAGGCACUUGCACCCGGCUCAGGGAGGGUCGCUCCCUUCCCCUGCGACCACUGGAGCUCUUCCUUGUGGAAAGCCACAGCCACGCAGCAGCACACAUGGAUGGGUGCCUGUGCGCCCCUGUCCCCUUGGGAGCUCCGGGGCAGGACCGCCCUCGCGGGGGAGGCGGUGGCUCGAGAAGGGCGCUGCUGGAGAAGGGGAGCCCCCAGGGGUCCUUAGCACGUGCCCAGUCUUGCAGGAGGCUUGGGGAAGGGCUGCCCUCCUGCUCCGCUCAGGAUCAAGCCAGGAGGAGGCCCUGCAGGCCAGCCCUGGCCCCACGUGGUCCCAUCUGGAUUCGGUGCCGCGGUGCUGGUUGGCACCAGCCGCAGAGCAGGCUCCAGGCCUGAGCUGGAC
rnacentral:lncRNA from 1 species